UUUAAGAAAUCUUAACUCUUAUAAUGAUAAAUAUAUUAAGAACUUUUAAUAAUAUUUAAAACAUACAUAUAGCCAAAAUUCUUAGGGAUAAGAUUUGACAAUAAGAUUACAUAGUUGUUCUGUGGAAUGUCUCCUUAUUAAGAAUUCACAACAAGCUGGACUUUUAUCUAACUGUUUAGAGCGACGCAUUUUCGACGUUCGCCGUAGAGCCACAAUAAAAAAAGCAUCGAAAGUGAAGUGGACCAGUCGUCCGUUGAAUCCCUACAACGUUUGUCGUUCGUGACACUUUCGGUGUCGCGACGUGACUCGCAACACACAUCUGGUAUGUGUUCUACCUGAAUGCGCGUAAUUGUUUCGCAGCAUCACGGUUAAAAAUAUAACUCAAAUCAACAUGUGGAUUUUGAUAGUAAUUUAUAUACAGAUGCAUACCAUGCCGGUUACGGUGAAGGUGAAGGACCUUUCGGCAUACGAUUUACGCUUUGGUAUUCAAACUUAUUUUAUCCUAUUGUCGUGCAAAAUGUGUAUAUAUUGACUGUAAAUCGAAUAUGAUUGUCAAUUUGACGAAGCUAAAUUUCUUAUCUUCCCGGAAAACAUGGAAUUUCUCUCAAAAAUACGAAAAAAGUUUGGUGUUAAUUAACUUAGAUAAAAAACUUUGUAUGCUAAAUAGUUUCUUUUGACCAGACUUUAACGAGACCACAAUGUACGAAGGAUAAUUAAAUCAUUCAGAUUGAUUGAAUAGAUUUACGGUGAUCAGAGUUAGAAUAUAAUCGGAUUAUCUUAUGCCUCCCACUAUAGUUAUAGGUGCGGCGAGGCCGAAUCGCUUAAUAAAGCGAUUCAGGGUCUUCUCGUGUCUUCGGGACAACUAUUGCAUUUGAAUUUUUCUCUAUCAUAAUGGAGAGAUAUUCGGUUAUGCGAAGAGUAUUAACACUCAUAAGGCUCAUAAGGGAAAGCUUGGCCUCAGAAAGGCGGAUAAUACUCGCAAGGCCAACCGACGACGUUGCGCGUGUCGGUCAGGAACGCUGUCAUGGACUUAGAUCUUUUUUGUAACAACGUGAAGACGCAGACUGUUAUUAACGUCACGCUGAUAAAACGGGUAAAACUCGAUGAUGUAGCUUACCGUACACGCAAAUGCAGAGCAAUGCGAGCGUGGUCGCAACGAUCCACGAAACUUUGGCCGACAUCUCAGAAAUAUGCUGUUACCAAUCCACAAGGAACAACGUCUGCCAGUGCACUGUGCUAGUCCCUGA